rnacentral:rRNA from 1 species
UACGGAGGGGGCUAGCGUUGUUCGGAAUUACUGGGCGUAAAGCGCACGGUAGGCGGCUUUGUAAGUUAGAGGUGAAAGCCCAGGGCUUAACCCUGGAAUUGCCUUUAAGACUGCAUCGCUAGAAUUGUGGAGAGGUAAGUGGAAUUCCGAGUGUAGAGGUGCAAUUCGUAGAUAUUCGGAAGAACACCAGUGGCGAAGGCGACUUACUGGACACAUAUUGACGCUGAGGUGCGAAAAGCGUGGGGAGCAAACAGG